rnacentral:rRNA from 1 species
GAUACUAAGCCAUGCGAGUCAUUGUAGUAAUACAAGGCAUACGGCUCAGUAACGCGUAGUCAACCUAACCUAUGGACGGGAAUAACCUCGGGAAACUGAGUAUAAUGCCCGAUAGAACAUUAUGCCUGGAAUGGUUUAUGUUCCAAAUGAUUUAUCGCCGUAGGAUGGGACUGCGGCCUAUCAGUUUGUUGGUGAGGUAAUGGCCCACCAAGACUAUUACAGGUACGGGCUCUGAGAGGAGUAGCCCGGAGAUGGGUACUGAGACACGGACCCAGGCCCUAUGGGGCGCAGCAGGCGAGAAAACUUUGCAAUGUGCGAAAGCACGACAAGGUUAAUCCGAGUGGUUUCUGCUAAAGGAACCUUUUGUUAGUCCUAGAAACACUAACGAAUAAGGGGUGGGCAAGUUCUGGUGUCAGCCGCCGCGGUAAAACCAGCACCUCAAGUGGUCAGGAUGAUUAUUGGGCCUAAAGCAUCCGUAGCCGGAUCUGUAAGUUUUCGGUUAAAUCUGUACGCUCAACGUACAGGCUGCCGGGACUACUGCAGAUCUAGGGAGUGGGAGAGGUAGACGGUACUCGGGAGGAAGGGGUAAAAUCCUUUGAUCUCUCGAUGACCACCUGUGGCGAAGGCGGUCUACCAGAACACGUCCGACGGUGAGGGAUGAAAGCUGGGGGAGCAAACCGGAUUAGAUACCCGGGUAGUCCCAGCUGUAAACUAUGCAAACUCAGUGAUGCAUUGACUUGUGGUCAAUGCAGUGCUGCAGGGAAGCCGUUAAGUUUGCCGCCUGGGAAGUACGUACGCAAGUAUGAAACUUAAAGGAAU